rnacentral:rRNA from 1 species
GAUGAACGCUGGCGGCGUGCCUAAUACAUGCAAGUCGAGCGAACGGACGAGAAGCUUGCUCCCCUGAUGUUAGCGGCGGACGGGUGAGUAACACGUGGAUAACCUACCUCUAAGACUGGGAUAAUUUCGGGGAACCGGAGCUUAUAACGGAUAAUAUUUUGAACCGUAAGGUUCAAAAGUGAAAGACGGUCUUGGUGUCAUUUAUAGCUUGAUCCGCGCUGCAUUAGCUAGUUGGUGGGGUAACGGCUUACCAACGCAACGAUGCAUAGCCGGCCUGAGAGGGUCAUCGGCCACACGGGACGAGAGGAACGUCCCAGACACUUAGGGGAGGCAGCAGUCGGGACUCUUCCGCAAUGAGCGAAUGCCUGAGGGAGCAAAGCGGGGGGAGAGAUGAAGGCGUUAGGCUGGUAAAGCGCUGUUAUUAGGAGAGAACAAAAGUAGAUUUAACCGUGCACAUCAUGACAGUACCGAAUCAAUAAGCAACGGCUAACUACGUG